rnacentral:rRNA from 1 species
AAAAAAGUAGGGAAGCAUGUGAGCCAUGUGCCAAGAAAAGCCGCUAUUGUGAUACACAUACCCGUACCGUAAACCGACACAGGUGGAUGAGGAGAGAAUCCUAAGGCCGACGGAAGAAGCAUUGUUAAGGAACUCGGCAAAAUGACCCCGUAACUUCGGGAGAAGGGGUGCCCUGUGAAAGCAGGGCCGCAGAGAAUAGGCUCAAGCAACUGUUUAGCAAAAACACAGGUCUAUGCGAAACCGAAAGGUGAGGUAUAUGGGCUGACGCCUGCCCGGUGCUGGAAGGUUAAGAGGAGAAGUCAGGCAACGAAGCUUCGAAUUUAAGCCCCAGUAAACGGCGGCCGUAACUAUAACGGUCCUAAGGUAGCGAAAUUCCUUGUCGGGUAAGUUCCGACCCGCACGAAAGGCGUAAUGAUUUGAGCACUGUCUCGACAAUGCAUCCGGUGAAAUUGAAGUACCAGUGAAGAUGCUGGUUACCUGCGCCAGGACGGAAAGACCCCAUGGAGCUUUACUCCAGCUUGAUACUGGGAUUCGAUACUGUAUGUACAGGAUAGGUGGGAGACGUUGAACAUAGAACGCCAGUUUUAUGUGAGUCGCUGUUGGGAUACCACCCUUGCAGUAUUGGAUUUCUAACCUGCACCCAUGACCUGGGUGGGGGACAAUGUCUGGCGGGGAGUUUGACUGGGGCGGUCGCCUCCGAAAGGGUAUCGGAGGCGCUCAAAGGUUCCCUCAGAAUGGUUGGAAACCAUUCGAAGAGUGCAAAGGCAGAAGGGAGCUUGACUGUGACACCGACGGGUGGAACAGGUACGAAAGUAGGACUUAGUGAUCCGGUGGUAUAAAGUGGGAUUGCCAUCGCUCAACGGAUAAAAGCUACCCUGGGAUAACAGGCUUAUCACUCCCAAGAGUUCACAUCGACGGAGUGGUUUGGCACCUCGAUGUCGGCUCAUCGCAUCCUGGGGCUGUAGCAGGUCCCAAGGGUCGGGCUGUUCGCCCAUUAAAGCGGUACGCGAGCUGGGUUCAGAACGUCGUGAGACAGUUCGGUCCCUAUCCGGCGCAGGCGGAGGAUAUUUGAGAGGAGCUGUCCUUAGUACGAGAGGACCGGGAUGGACGGACCACUGGUGUAUCUGUUGGCUAUCGGAGCCAUGGCAGAGUAGCCAAGUCCGGCAGGGAUAAACGCUGAAGGCAUCUAAGCGUGAAGCCCCCCUCAAGAUGAGAUAUCCCUCAGAAAUGAGUAAGACCCCUUGAAGACUACGAGGUAGAUAGGAAUGAGGUGUAAGCACAGCAAUGUGUUCAGCUGACAUUUACUAAUCGGUCGAGGGCUUGACCA